rnacentral:rRNA from 1 species
UGGGGAAUAUUGCACAAUGGGCGCAAGCCUGAUGCAGCCAUGCCGCGUGUAUGAAGAAGGCCUUCGGGUUGUAAAGUACUUUCAGCGGGGAGGAAGGGAGUAAAGUUAAUACCUUUGCUCAUUGACGUUACCCGCAGAAGAAGCACCGGCUAACUCCGUGCCAGCAGCCGCGGUAAUACGGAGGGUGCAAGCGUUAAUCGGAAUUACUGGGCGUAAAGCGCACGCAGGCGGUUUGUUAAGUCAGAUGGGAAAUCCCCGGGCUCAACCUGGGAACUGCAUCUGAUACUGGCAAGCUUGAGUCUCGUAGAGGGGGGUGGAAUUCCAGGUGUAGCGGUGAAAUGCGUAGAGAUCUGGAGGAAUACCGGUGGCGAAGGCGGCCCCCGGGACGAAGACUGACGCUCAGGUGCGAAAGCGUGGGGAGCAAACAGG